GUUAAAUCGAAGACAGGAAUCAGUAGCAACAUGAUUUUUGACCAGAGAGUCGGUGGCUGGUGAAAACCGAUCAAAAUCAGUUGCGAAUCCAUCCUUGAGUGGAAAGCUGAAAUGUUACGUAGGCUUUCACGGUCCACAUUGUCCGUUAUCAAUGCCGAGCGGCAGGCAAUCGCCUGCAACCAGGGUGGCAACGCGGGUUAACUCUCGUCCCUUUC
rnacentral:ncRNA from 1 species